CUACGGGCGGCAGCAGUGGGGAAUAUUGCACAAUGGACGAAAGUCUGAUGCAGCAACGCCGCGUGGAGGAUGACACAUUUCGGUGCGUAAACUCCUUUUAUAGGUCAAGAUAAUGACGGUAGCCUAUGAAUAAGCGCCGGCUAACUCCGUGCCAGCAGCCGCGGUAAUACGGAGGGCGCAAGCGUUACUCGGAAUCACUGGGCGUAAAGAGCGUGUAGGCGGGUUAAUAAGUCAGAAGUGAAAUCCAAUGGCUCAACCAUUGAACUGCUUUUGAAACUGUUAACCUAGAGUAUGGGAGAGGUAGAUGGAAUUUCUGGUGUAGGGGUAAAAUCCGUAGAGAUCAGAAGGAAUACCGAUUGCGAAGGCGAUCUACUGGAACAUUACUGACGCUGAGACGCGAAAGCGUGGGGAGCAAACAGGAUUAGAUACCCCAGUAGUC
rnacentral:rRNA from 1 species